GGAGAGAUUUUUUUUCACUAAUAUUUCCUUGUAGGUGCUCCAUUAUGUCUCAAUCCAUCGGAGGUCUUUCGAGUUGGAGUAAUGUCCUUAUUAUCUAAAGAGCUCUCAACUUACAAGUCAAGAGCAAAGAUGAUGAUCAAAGGGAGAACAUAUUCCACACCUGUUACCUAGUCAAUGGCAAGGCGUGUAGAAUGAUCAUUGAUGAAGCUAUG
rnacentral:lncRNA from 1 species